UGCGGCUUAAUUUGACUCAACACGGGGAAACUUACCAGGUCCAGACAUAGUAAGGAUUGACAGACUGAGAGCUCUUUCUUUUUUUUGAUCAAAUGUAAGUAAUGUAUAGAUCAAAAAAGAGCAAGGCUAGCUUGCA
rnacentral:ncRNA from 1 species